rnacentral:rRNA from 1 species
GACGAACGCUGGCGGCGUGCCUAACACAUGCAAGUCGAACGGAAAGGCCCUGCGUUUGUGGGGUGCUCGAGUGGCGAACGGGUGAGUAACACGUGAGUAACCUGCCCUUGACUUUGGGAUAACUUCAGGAAACGGGGGCUAAUACCGGAUAGGAGCUCCUGCUGCAUGGUGGGGGUGGGAAAGUUUCGGCGGUUGGGGAUGGACUCGCGGCUGAUCAGCUUGUUGGUGGGGUAGUGGCAUACCAAGGCAGUGACGGGUAGCCGGCCUGGGAGGGUGACCGGCCACAUUAGGACUGAGAUACGGCCCAGACUCGUACGGGAGGCAACGGUGGGGAGUAUUGCACAGUGGGCGGGAGCCUGAUGCGGCAACGCCGCGUGCGGGAUGACGGCCUGCGGGUUGUGAACCGCUUUCGCCUGUGACGAAGCGUGAGUGACGGUAAUGGGUGAAGAAGCACCGGCUAACUACGUG